UACGGAGGGUGCAAGCGUUAAUCGGAAUUACUGGGCGUAAAGCGCACGCAGGCGGUUGGAUAAGUUAGAUGUGAAAGCCCCGGGCUCAACCUGGGAAUUGCAUUUAAAACUGUCCAGCUAGAGUCUUGUAGAGGGGGUAGAAUUGCCAGGUGUAGCGGUGAAAUGCGUAGAGAUCUGGAGGAAUACCGGGUGGCGAAGGCGGCCCCUGGACAA
rnacentral:rRNA from 1 species